UGCGUAGGUGGCCAUGUAAGUUAGGUGUGAAAGACCGGGGCUUAACCCCGGGGCGGCACUUAAAACUGUGUGGCUUGAGUACAGGAGAGGGAAGUGGAAUUCCUAGUGUAGCGGUGAAAUGCGUAGAUAUUAGGAGGAACACCAGUGGCGAAGGCGACUUUCUGGACUGUAACUGACACUGAGGCACGAAAGCGUGGGGAGCGAACA
rnacentral:rRNA from 1 species